UUUGAGAGAGGGAGCUCAGGGAAUGGUGGCAGGGUAGUCACAGGGAACCGUGAGUUGGAGGGGCAGAUGGAAAGUCUGGCUAGAUUUGCGUGGAGAGGGGGGAGAACUGAAGAAGAGUUAGUAGAGCUCUGAGGCUGGGACCUGAAGAGAUCUCAACAUGGUGUACCGAGCACCAGAAGCUUCCCACAGAGGUUGAUCAUGGUGAGCUCUGGAGGAGAGAGAUUCCUCAGAGAAAGUGGGGCCUCUCAAAGCCAUCCCAGUAACCCAGCAGCAGGGAUUAGUGCUCAGAAGUGACAUGGAAAACAGACAGUUGCAGCACAUUGCUGGCUCAGUCAUCCUGAGAUUGACCCACACACCCAGGUAGAACUAUUAAUGAACUAUUUCCUCACUGGACCUGAGACAGCAGGUCUAUAUUACAGCCAGGAUUGACGUUCUGAGAUCGAUCCACCAGCGUUCGAUUUAACAGGUUUAGUAAAGACCCACAAAAUCAACAGCAGAUCGCGCUCCAGUCAACCCCUGUACUCUACUCCCAAUCAGAAGAGUAAGAAAAAUGACUUUGACCAGCUGUUGGAGGGGUAAAUCACCACAGGACUGGGGACACCCAAGCCAGUGGCUCCUACACUGAGCCCGGAUCAGCUGCUAGUCCUGGCUAGGCUGGAGGCAGGAGAGGACAGGGACUUCUUCUUCCCCUGAAAGGAGGGGUUGGGGCUGUGUCAGACCCACCCUUAAAAACUUCCCCCAGCUGCAGGAAGCUCAGCAUCCUCCCCUGCUUCUUCCCACCAUUGUUCAUCAGCUAUGUGGGGGAGGGGUAACUGUACAAAGAACUGCUCCCCCAUCCACUCAACCCCCACAUCUGGAACUCCUAUACCCAGAAACCUCUGCCAAGCCCCAGCUGGUACAUCCAGAACCUCCCCUCCCUCCAGUCCUCCAUACCCAAACCCCACACUACUGAACCUCAACCCCUGCCUCCAGACCCCCACCCCUGAACCCAGACUACCCCCCACUGGGCUCCCUGCACUCAAAUCCCCACCCUGAUGCCCCACCCCCUGAACCCCCACAUCCAGAACCCCACACCACUGACCUCCAACUAGCUCCACCCACUAAGACCCCACCACACACACACCCAGACCCCUCCGCUGUGCCCCAAGCAUUUUCACCUGGAAGUGCCUGCAGAGUCCCAUUGCCCCUGACCUGGAAUCCCACCCACAAUGAGCCUCUGUGCAUUCAGAACCCCCCCUCACCUAGUGCUCCCAGUGAGCUGCCUGCACCCAGAUUGUCCCACACAGAAUCCUCUCACCCCACACUUAGAUCCCUCCACACUUGGAUCCUGCCUGCCCCACACCUGG